rnacentral:lncRNA from 12 species
AUGGGUUGCCCUAGAAACAGCUUCACAAAGUUCUCCUUGAAGUUCUCAAAUAGAUACCAUUUGAUUUGUUCUCUCCCUCCCUUUCCUGAUCUGACACCGCCAUCCUCUCAACACACGUGCACUGGACAAUAUGGUCUACUAGAGGCAGAAGCCAGAGUGGCCGACAGAAAGCAUCUCAAAAUUCAGGAAACCAUGGAGAGGAUCAUCCUUCCUUCUGGCCCCAUGACAAUGCACUCCAUGGAUCCCAGGUGCUUGCCUCUAUUCUGGGAAGGGGCUCUAGUUUGGAGAUUUGCACAGUCCAUUAAAUCAUUUCUGUGUCCUGCUGAGUCUUCCUGCUAUGAGCCCAAGCCCUCCACACAAGCAUGAAGCUGAUAGAAAUCCCUGCCAGGAAAAAUAGAGCCUUGAGUAAGCUCGACCAGUCAAGGGUUCACCCCUUUCACAGGAUUUUAAAGGAUAUGGUACCUGUUAGGAACCGAGUCAAGAUUUCUGCUUAACUCUCUACAGGCCAGACUUAGCCAUGUUUGUGAAGCCUGUCCCAGUACUAAGUUUACAAAAUGGUGCUCUCCCCUCAUGGAUUUUCAUUUAAAGGAAAAAUACAUUUGUUUCCUCCACAUUAAAUUAACUUGCUUGAUUUUUUUUCAACUUUCCUAAAAUAUUUAUUUUUCGCUUCACAUUCCAAAUUAAGGUGAACAGCCAGAUUUCUAGGCUUACUUGGUCUCUUACUCAUUGCUUCUCAGACUGAAUUUUGGUGAUUUUGUUAAAAAGCAAUUUCUGAAUGAGGAGAUUGGGGUGGACCUGAGAUUCUGUAUUUUUUUUAAGAGAGAGAGAGAGAGAGAGAGAACACGUGAGUGGGGCAGGAGAGGCCAAGGGAGAGAGAGAGAGAGAGAGAACCCCAAGCAGGCUCCACACUGGGAAGGGCUUGAUCUCAUCAUGACCCUGAGAUCUCGACCUGAGCUGAAACCAAGAGUCCAAUACUUAAUAGGUGAGCCACCCAGGUGCCCCCGAGAUUCUGCAUUUAUUUUUUUAAAGAUUUUAUUUGUUUAUUCAUGAGAUACACACACACACACACACACACACACAGACAGAGAGAGAGAGAGAGAGAGAGGCAGAGACACAGGCAGAGGGAGAAGCAGGCUCCAUGCAGGGAGCCCGACAUGGGACUCGAUCUCGAUCUCCGGGAUCAU